GACGAACGCUGGCGGCGUGCCUAAUACAUGCAAGUAGAACGCACAGUUUAUACCGUAGCUUGCUACACCAUAGACUGUGAGUUGCGAACGGGUGAGUAACGCGUAGGUAACCUGCCUGGUAGCGGGGGAUAACUAUUGGAAACGAUAGCUAAUACCGCAUAAUAUUAAUUAUUGCAUGAUAAUUAAUUGAAAGGUGCAAUUGCACCACUACCAGAUGGACCUGCGUUGUAUUAGCUAGUAGGUGAGGUAACAGCUCACCUAGGCGACGAUACAUAGCCGACCUGAGAGGGUGAUCGGCCACACUGGGAAUGAGACACGGCCCAGAAUCCUACGGGAGGCAGCAGUAGGGAAUCUUCGGCAAUGGACGAAAGUCUGACCGAGCAACGCCGCGUGAGUGAAGAAGGUUUUCGGAUCGUAAAGCUCUGUUGUAAGAGAAGAACGGGUGUGAGAGUGGAAAGUUCACACUGUGACGGUAUCUUACCAGAAAGGGACGGCUAACUACGUG
rnacentral:rRNA from 1 species